rnacentral:rRNA from 1 species
AACGAACGCUGGCGGCAGGCUUAACACAUGCAAGUCGAGCGCCCCGCCAGGGGAGCGGCAGACGGGCGAGUAACGCGCGGGAAUCUACCGAUCACUACGGAUUAACGCAUGGAACCGUGUGCUAAUACCGUAUUCGUCCUUCGGGAGAAAUGUUUAUCGGAGAUGGGUGCGCCCGCGUACGAUUAGCCAGUUGGUGGGGUAAGGGGCGUCCAGGGCGACAAUCCAUAGCUAGUCGGAGAGGAUGAUCAGCCACACUCGGACUGAGACACGGCGCAGACUCCAACGGGAGGCGGCAGUGGGGAAGAUUGGACAAUGUGCGCAAGCCUGAUCCAGCCCUGCCGCGUGAGUGAUGAAGUCCCUAGGGUUGUAAAGCUCGUUCACCGGUGCAGAUAUUGACGGUAACCGGAGAAGAAGCCCCGGCUAACUUCGUGCCAGCCGCCGCUGUAACAC